rnacentral:lncRNA from 1 species
GCAGAAGAGGACAGUCCGCAAGGGGCGGAAGACAAGACAAAAAUGACUCCAGUUCGCUAGACGCGCAGAGGGGCGGAUAGCGCGCGGACCCCGCCUUCCCCAACCGAGUGUGGGUUCCAGUCGCUGGGGAGGACCUGGUGGCCCCCUGACCUUGGACGAGCCAUAUUGGACGCCCCGGCGCCGUCCCGUCUUCCACGCUGCCAACUCCACCGCUCCCGCCCCGAACUGCGGCCUAGGAGCCACCGCAGCGCACCCAGCCCGCGAGUACAGCCGCAUGGGAAUAAUCCCAACAUUUGCCUGAUUUAUUUUCUUCCCUCUCCUUACGCUUGUACUUGUUUUUCUCCUCUCGCUGUUUUCCCUUCACACUAAUUCGCAACCUGGCAGUUUGCAAAGAGGAAACUCCCUUUCGGAAUGGAAAGCCGCUUUUGCUUCUUGUUGUUGGGGGUGGAAAACAUUCCAGCGAGAAUGAGUUCAAAAAGAAGGGAAACCGCGUCACUGGAGAGAAAGUAACAUUAAGAGAUCGAUGAGGACGGAGUGGGUAGGGGGGACAGAGAGAGGAACGUCUGCAACAGGCAUCUAAAAACAAGCGUGGAGGAGCAAAGAUUCCCAAUCCCCGGGUUACUACCGCGCGCGUUCUGCGCGAGCCAUUGCAAUGCCAGCAUUUACUGUAAGCAGAAUUUGAAGGCUUUUGAAAUCUUUUUUUGGUAAGACUUACCUUUCUCUUCGGCAUAAUGACUAUGUCGGUGAAGCAAAAAGUAAAGCAACGGACUGGAACUGCUGGCGCCGCCGCUGGAUGCUGCCUCUGCCUCUGCAGCUGCUCACGCGCAGGGCACGACGUAGCCCGGCCUCUUCGACCUGCACCUCCGCGGCUCCCUCUGGGGGCCCUCUGCUCGCCUCCCUGCUGCUCCAAUGAGGAGCCCCGCCAGCCGGCCGCGAGGCCCCAUUGGCUGAGGCAACGUUCUAAAUUCCACGAGGGCACGCCCACCUCCGCGCGCGGUACGCGCUGUUGUAGUUUCCACUUCACCGAAAAAAAUCUGCCUGGCGACUGAGCAUGCCCAGUUCAACUAGUAGCCUCCAGGCCACACAAUCCUGAAGUUUCAUUGUUUCGCUGCUCUCUCUUUGAGAUUGUAAGAAUAAGAACAGUGUGUGUCUUCAUAGGAAGGAAAAAGAGUAAGAAUGAAUACGUAAACUUUAUAAUGUAAAUAUAUACACAGCAGGUACCUUAUUCAUUUCCUACCCAUAAAGGCUUUUAAUGAAUGUUACAUGGUGGGAAUCUGUAAAGCGUGGGAAGGUACUCUGUACUGGAAGAGCGUGGCAACUUCUAAAGGCCUCAGUUUCCCCCCCUAGAUAUAUAGUGACAACAGUCCCUAAAAUCACUUAGCUCUAAUUUUCUGAAAUCUGUGAUUAUAAAUCACUCACUAAUUCAGCUAACUUCAAACUAGAUGUGAAGACGAAUAGGACAUGUUUGUUACGGAAAUUAGGAAAAGAAAGAACAAGGCAAAAACUGAUUAUUUUAUAUUUGAGACAUAUAUUUGAAUGACACCCGUCAUGUUACACUUUAUGCGUAAUAUUUCUCAAAGUUCUGCAAGGCAUAAAAUGAGCAUUGCAAAAAUAUUUCUGAAUUCAUUUUAUGAGACCAGAUUUACUCUGAUACCAAAACCAGUGAAAGACUUCAAAAGAGAGUUACAGACCAAUAUCACUCAUAAACAUAGACACAAAAGUCGUGAACAAAAUUUUAGUAAAUGAAACUCAACAACAUUUAAAGGGACAAUACAUCAUGACCUGUGGGGCUUAUCUUGGGAAUGCAAAGCUGCUUUUUUAAUAUCUGAGAAUCAAUCAAUGUAAUUGGCAGGAUUAAUAGAAUAAAGGGGGAAAAACAAUCCUUUCAGCAGAUGCAGGAAAAGCGCUAGUGAAUGGGUAAGCAAAUUGUGAUGAGCACAUGCAGUGGAAUACUAUUCAGCAAUAAAAAACAAUAAAAAAUUUUCCUACAUGGAUGAAUAUCAAAAACAAAGUGCUGUACGAAAGAAGUCAAAUACAAAAGACCACACUGAAUGAUUGCAUUCAUAUGAAAUUAUAGAAAAAGCAAAAUUGGGCAAAGUUAGUUUCAGAAUCAUCUUAGCAGGCAAAGCUCACAUCAUAGGAAAAUGUGUUGAAGCCUUACAUUACAAAUAUGGCCAAAUCCACUUUGGUAACACAGAGGCUGCAAAUAUGUAUUAAAAAUAUCAUGUAUUAAAUAUGUAUUAAAAAAGCAAUGAAGUUUAAUAUUUCACUUUUUCUUUAGUAAUUUUCAGAAUACAUUAAUUGAUCUAGUACUCUCCAGAGGUGGUUGAUUACUUUCUUUUUUGGAACAUCUUUAUGAACUCAUGGAUUUUUACAUAUUUGGUGUGCAUCAGUGUAUUGCUAUCAUUAUUAUUACCUUUUUAAUGCUCCUAUUACCACAUCUUUAGCCAAUGCAUACCCUUUCAAAUUAGUGCUUGUGUCCUUUUGACAUGAUCUUAAUCAUUUUUGAUAGAUUCCCUGUUCUUGGGCAUUCAGUGAAUGACAAUAGUAUACUGAAACGAAUUAAGAUAAAAACCAAUUGCUUAGAGCUAGAUAAAAAUUUACAAGUUAAUAAUUUUAUCAUUAAAAUAAUAUUUAUAAUGAAGAUGUCUUUCAAGAUAUUAAUUUGCCAAAUACUUGAUAGUUAAAUAAAGAAAAAGUCAGUGAAAACAUUUUUAGUAAGAUAUGUGUGAGAAGGAUACUGAGUAGCACUUGCAAUCUGGACUGGAUGGCUAUUUUUCUUCAUGGAGAUGGAAAGGUGCCACAACAAAGGUAGUGCUAAGGUGAAUAUUUCUCCUCUGUGAUGAAAAAUAACUCACAAAAUUGGCUUCUUUGUUAAUUUUUUUUCAAAACCAAACACUCAGAUCAUCAACAGCAAACAAAAUUGUGAAUGUUUUUACUGCACACAAUAAAAAUGCUACGAUGAAA